UUGCAAACAUGUGGAGCCAGAAUGCUUUUAAUGACUUUUCCUAGUCAAGACUGACUCAUUGUUAAAGCAGCUAGGUCCUAGGCAGCUUGAAACACACACCAAAGAAGCAGAAACGAUUAUUCAGGUUUCUUUGUUUUGAUGAAAGUCCUUGCUUGGAAAUCAAACUAUGAAAACCAUCACCACCACCUGAGGGCUUGCUGUACUGGGGCUUAGGCUGGAGACUCUACUUACCAAUACUGGUGCACUCCAUCGUGUGAUUGUUGGGUUCCAGCCCCUCAGGGCAGUUUUCAAGGCACUUUCCGUUGUG